rnacentral:rRNA from 1 species
UACGGAGGAUCCAAGCGUUAUCCGGAUUUAUUGGGCUUAAAGGGUGCGUAGGUGGUUCUUUAAGUCAGGGGUGAAAGACGGCAGCUUAACUGUCGCAGUGCCUUUGAUACUGAAGAACUUGAAUACACUAGAGGUAGGCGGAAUGUGACAAGUAGCGGUGAAAUGCAUAGAUAUGUCACAGAACACCAAUUGCGAAGGCAGCUUACUAGGGUGUCAUUGACACUGAGGCACGAAAGCGUGGGGAUCAAACAGG